CCCAACGAGAUCGGGAUAGCACCUGGAAACAGAUGCUAAUACCGGAUAACAACAGAUGAUGCCUAUCAACUGUUUAAAAGAUGGUUCUGCUAUCACUCUUGGAUGGACCUGCGGUGCAUUAGCUAGUUGGUAGGGUAACGGCCUACCAAGGCGAUGAUGCAUAGCCGAGUUGAGAGACUGAUCGGCCACAUUGGGACUGAGACACGGCCCAAACUCCUACGGGAGGCAGCAGCC
rnacentral:rRNA from 1 species